GCGGCAUAAUAUCGGCCGGGGACGAAUCGCCGUCGAAAAAUACCCAUCCGCGCGGGAAGCCGAACGCAUUUCCGGAGGGCCGUCGACCGCGCGGACACGAGCGUGAGUAUUUCGUACGGUUCUCGACGGUUUCGCGGCGCAGGGAUCGCGAUUCGCUGCCCAAUAACAGUCGGCGCUGUAGCAUUUCGCGGUUCCGUCAGCGAUCCGUUACACGAAACGACGAUUUUUAUUUCGGUUUGAUUGAAGAUUUAGCGGUUUCGAAGUAUCGUAUUGUUUUUUAUUUUUAAAUUUUAUCAAUUUGAAUUCAAGAUUUUCACGUAACACGUAACUGUAAUUGAACACUCGUUUUUUUUUUUUUCCCCCCGUAAUAUUAUCAUCGCACAAUAUUACAACGUAGAAAUGCCAAAAAUCCAAAUAUAUUACGAAUAGCUCGUUUCGACACGAAUGCGUUUCGCGCGUACGCGAGAGAGAGAGACAUUAUAUUUUAGGUAUUUUUAUUUAUUUUCUUUUCAUUUUUUUUCGUUUUUUUCAGCGCUUCUUAAAUGCGCA